rnacentral:rRNA from 1 species
UCAAGUCAUCAUGCCCCUUAUGUCUUGGGCUGCAAACAUGCUACAAUGGCCGGUACAGAGGGCGUGCGAUGUCGUGAGGCGGAGCGAAUCUCUUAAAGCCGGUCUCAGUUCGGAUUGGGGUCUGCAACUCGACCCCAUGAAGGUGGAGUCGCUAGUAAUCGCGGAUCAGCAAUGCCGCGGUGAAUACGUUCCCGGGCCUU